rfam:Camelus ferus unplaced genomic scaffold scaffold1913, whole genome shotgun sequence.
GGGGGUAUAUCUCAAGUGGUAGAGCACAAGCUUAGCAUGCAUGAGGUCCUGGGUUCAAUCCACAGUACCUCCU